rnacentral:rRNA from 1 species
UACAGAGGGGGCAAGCGUUAUUCGGAAUUAUUGGGCGUAAAGGGCGCGUAGGCGGCCUGGCAAGUGGAAGGUGAAAUCCCUCGGCUUAACCGAGGAACUGCCCUCCAAACUGCCUGGCUUGAGUCCGGGAGAGGUGAGUGGAAUUCCCAGUGUAGCGGUGAAAUGCGUAGAUAUUGGGAGGAACACCAGUGGCGAAGGCGGCUCACUGGACCGGAACUGACGCUGAUGCGCGAAAGCGUGGGGAGCAAAAGGG